CGGCUGUAGCUAUAUUGAUCCAACGGCUGAGAAGUUAACUGGCCGGUUGUUUGAGGUUCCUUCAGAAUCUCCAUCGACAAAUCUGCUUACCGAACUUCUUACAUGU